rnacentral:rRNA from 1 species
AUCCUGGCUCAGAAUCAACGCUGGCGGCGCGCUUAACACAUGCAAGUCGCACGAGAAAGGGGAGCAAUCCCUGAGUACAGUGGCGUACGGGUGAGUAACACGUGGAUGAUCUACCUUCUAGUGGGGAAUACCUCUGGGAAACCGGAGACAAUACCGCAUAAGCUCGUAAGAGGAAAGCAGCAAUGCGCUGGAAGAGGAGUCCGCGGCUGAUUAGCUAGUUGGCGGGGUAAUGGCCCACCAAGGCGAAGAUCGGUAGCCGGCCUGAGAGGGCACACGGCCACACUGGCACUGAAACACGGGCCAGACUCCUACGGGAGGCA